UACGAAGGGGGCUAGCGUUGCUCGGAAUUACUGGGCGUAAAGCGCACGUAGGCGGCUUCUUAAGUCGGUGGUGAAAUCCUGGAGCUCAACUCCAGAACUGCCUUCGAUACUGGGAAGCUCGAGUCCGGGAGAGGUGAGAGGAACUGCGAGUGUAGAGGUGAAAUUCGUAGAUAUUCGCAAGAACACCAGUGGCGAAGGCGGCUCACUGGCCCGGUACUGACGCUGAGGUGCGAAAGCGUGGGGAGCAAACAGG
rnacentral:rRNA from 1 species